GGAGAGACCUGCUGCCCCAGAAACAAACCCUUCGACGAAGGAAGGGUUAUGAGGUUUCCGAGCUCAGCCACGAAACCUGAAGUCCCUUCCUCCUUGGUGGAGCAGGGCUUGCCCCGCCCCUGGGUGAGCACAGUGGAAAGACCAUGUCAGGAUACAGUGAGAAGAGGCCAUCUACAACCCAAGGAGAGAGCUCUCACCAGAAACCAACCCUGCUGGCAUCUUGAUCUUGGACUUCCAGCCUCCAGAACUGGAAGCCAGCUGCCAUGUCAUGAAGACAGUCAGGCACCUAUGGAGAGUGGUGAAGAACUGAGGUAUCAGCUCACAGUCACCUAAGAACUGAGGUCUGCCAACACCCAUGUGCCUGAACCAGGAAGUGGAUUCUGCUGCGCACAGCUUGAGUGCUAGCUCAAGAGAGACCCUGACCCAGAACCACCAGCUAAACCACCCCCGGAUUCCUGACCUAUAGAAACUAUAACUUAAUAAAUGUUUGUUGCUUUAAGCUGUUAAGAUUUGGGGUAACUUUUUACAGAGCAACAGAUAACUCAGUAGAGCAGUCUUUUAAGAAAUGCUGUCUCACCAGUCCUUAAAUCAGCCCGAUGAUGAGUCCAUGUGGAAAAAUA